rnacentral:rRNA from 1 species
UGGGCGUAAAGAGCUCGUAGGUGGUUUGUCGCGUUGUUCGUGAAAUCUCACGGCUUAACUGUGAGCGUGCGGGCGAUACGGGCAGACUUGAGUACUGCAGGGGAGACUGGAAUUCCUGGUGUAGCGGUGGAAUGCGCAGAUAUCAGGAGGAACACCGGUGGCGAAGGCGGGUCUCUGGGCAGUAACUGACGCUGAGGAGCGAAAGCGUGGGGAGCGAACAGGAUUAGAUACCCUGGUAGUCCACGCCGUAAACGGUGGGUACUAGGUGUGGGUUUCCUUCCUUGGGAUCCGUGCCGUAGCUAACGCAUUAAGUACCCCGCCUGGGGAGUACGGCCGCAAGGCUAAAACUCAAAGAAAUUGACGGGGGCCCGCACAAGCGGCGGAGCAUGUGGAUUAAUUCGAUGCAACGCGAAGAACCUUACCUGGGUUUGACAUGCACAGGACGCCGGCAGAGAUGUCGGUUCCCUUGUGGCCUGUGUGCAGGUGGUGCAUGGCUGUCGUCAGCUCGUGUCGUGAGAUGUUGGGUUAAGUCCCGCAACGAGCGCAACCCUUGUCUCAUGUUGCCAGCGGGUAAUGCCGGGGACUCGUGAGAGACUGCCGGGGUCAACUCGGAGGAAGGUGGGGAUGACGUCAAGUCAUCAUGCCCCUUAUGUCCAGGGCUUCACACAUGCUACAAUGGCCGGUACAAAGGGCUGCGAUGCCGCGAGGUUAAGCGAAUCCUUUUAAAGCCGGUCUCAGUUCGGAUCGGGGUCUGCAACUCGACCCCGUGAAGUCGGAGUCGCU